rnacentral:rRNA from 1 species
CCUACGGGAGGCAGCAGUCGAGAAUCAUUCACAAUGGGGGAAACCCUGAUGGUGCGACGCCGCGUGGGGGAAUGAAGGUCUUCGGAUUGUAAACCCCUGUCAUGUGGGAGCAAAUUAAAAAGAUAGUACCACAAGAGGAAGAGACGGCUAACUCUGUGCCAGCAGCCGCGGUAAUACAGAGGUCUCAAGCGUUGUUCGGAACCACUGGGCGUAAGGCGUGCGUAGGCAGUUUCGUAAGUCGUGUGUGAAAGGCGCGGGCUCAACCCGCGGACGGCACAUGAUACUGCGAGACUAGAGUAAUGGAGGGGGAACCGGAAUGCUCGGUGUAGCAGUGAAAUGCGUAGAUAUCGAGAGGAACACUCGUGGCGAAGGCGGGUUCCUGGACAUUAACUGACGCUGAGGCACGAAGGCCAGGGGAGCGAAAGGGAUUAGAUACCCGAGUAGUC